rnacentral:lncRNA from 1 species
GAAAUUGAAAAAUAAUCUAAGUAGUGACUUAUUUUGUAAUUUACCUUAAUAAAUAAAUAACACAAGCUUCAGUGGUGAGAAAAAACCCUCAAAUUUGGUGCAGAGUAAUUGAGAUAUACUAGUAUAUUACAUCGGAGGAAUCAAUGGCGAAGAUUGAAGAGCAAGAACCGACAUUGCAGCAGCAUCAAACGAAGAAGAAAACAGCCGCCAAAAGGAGCCACGGAUCCACAUCGUUUUUCGUCUUCGUAGACUACCUUUUCUUGGCCAUUUUCUUCCUCUUCCUCAGCUACAUCGUCUAUAAGAUGGUCGGAUUUUGAUUCAACAAGGUCACUUUUUUUAUGUCCCAUUUCAUUGCUUUUAGUCCUAAUCUUAUGUUUUCUUGUUGUGAUUUACCGUUUCUUGAAAAGUAAUUUUCUGUGUUUUUUAUGUAUGUGUUGAUAGUGUAGGAAAUAGAAUGUUCAAAGUUGUGAUGAAUGUAUUCUUGAAAUAAAAAUUGAAUCUUUAUCUUUGGAGGUUGGAGUUUGUGAAGAAAUUAAUCAAGAGUGAUUUGGGUUAUUUGAGAUUUUUAGAAACCUAGUUAUGCCAAAACUACAAAUUGAAGUAUUUAUGAUUGAUUUGGAUUCUGUUUGUUGGUUGUUGGAGCUGUAAUUUGAGGUUUUACUUUACAUUCCUAUGUUUAAAAUUGAAUGAGAUUUUUCCCAAAAAAAUUGUCAGUUUGUGUGGUGAUAAGGUUGGUUGGCUUACUAUAUUUCAUAUUUGGUAGCUAAGUUAGAUGAUUUUAAUGUGAAAGAUCAAUUCUGAUAGUACUUCUUAGAAUUGCAAAAUGUACUUUAUCAUCCAGCUCUACUCCAUCACCUUAGUCACCAAACGAGAUUACAAGGGCAGAAACGUAACUUUUCAACUCGAACAUCUAGGGUUCCUCCCUUUAGCAGAACUUUUGAGAGGACAGAAUUGAAAGAAUUUGAUUUGAACUAUAAUCUUGUUUCCUGUUUACUGUGAAAGUAGCUUCAGCUGAACUGUUUACUGUUUCGUUGCCAUCCUUUUACGCAGGAUAAUUUAUCACGUGGGAUUUUUACUCCGGUUCAGUUGUCAAGAAGUGAUAUAUUCAUAGAAUGCUAAGAGUGAUAUAUACUCGAAGGGAAUUCCACCGUUGGGUGGUCUUGCUGCGCUGUGUCUUGUGCUAGUAUGAAAAUAUCGGCUUUGAGUUUCUCGUCUUGUUGUUACUUUACAAGCAUUCGCGUGUGAUGAAUUAACUCCGUGUUGUGAUUUCACUGUUUUCCAUCUUCACUAGUGUUGUGACCGAUAAAUAAUUUGAUACUGAUUUUGACAUUUUGUGUUCAUCAUCAGCCAUUUUUGCUACUUGGAAGAGUUUAGCCUUUUGAUUUUCACAUUGCAAGAAUUAUAUUUUAUACGUUGUGGAACGUCAUUAGUCCUUCUUGAUUACACCAGAAAAUCAUACAUUCAACUCUCAGUCUCAGAUCAUAUCUUGAUUCAUCCAUUUUUGGUCAUUUUGAAGAGGACUUUAGUUUCACUUCGAUUUUUCGUAUAUUUUAGUUGUUUCUUGCUCAUAAGUUCUUGCAAUAUCUCUGGUGUUGAGCUGUUUUGGCUAGUUUUUGCUGCAUCUUGUUUCAGGUUAGUGAUAAAUGAGGUUGUUGCUGCUCGUUGUUCGAGUUUUCACCCUCUAAAGCUCGCUGUUGAAACGUACAAGUAGAGGUAGAGAAACACACAAACACACAAACACUUUUUAUGAGCGCAAACAUGGUAGAGCUACAACUUUGAAAACUUAGAAAUAGAAUGCUACAUGCCAUUAUUGCUCAUUUUAUUAAAGCUUAAGGGCUGGAUGGUGUGGGGAUCCCUCCGCUGCUAGGGACGGGCCACGAAUGUGUUGUCUUCGCCGGGGAUGUGGCUGCGGCUCUGGUCGAGCCACCGAGCCCAAGGAUGGAGGUGCCAUUCCCUCCCGGGGCUACGGUGGUGGGAUUGUAUCAAGGACUUUUGGAGCCUUUCUUGGGAGCAUGAAACAGCUGAGGCCUGGGACCCACACCGUGCUGUCGAGGGAAAACUUGGCGUCAUCCGUUAGGACAUCCUGCCCCGCGGCUGCCUCAAGGGCCAGAGACGAGAUGAGGAGGAAGAGGAGGAGGAUGUCAUUGCCUUGGGAUUUUGGUGAAGGAGAUGAGAGAUAUAAAUGUUUUAUUUUAGAGAAUUGGUGAUGAUGGAAGGUUGGAUUUGGAAGGGGUUUUAUAGGUGAUUUUGUUACAUGUUUGGCGGCGAUUAAUGGAACUUAUUUGAGUCUACAUAGAAUGUUUAUAUGCAUGCUUUCUCUGUGAGUGAAAGUGAUAUAUAAAUGCAUAUUCAAUUUUUUUUCCUUAUUCCUAAAAAUGUUCAGAUCUCUCUACUUUCAUCGGUAAAAGUUGAGGCCAUAUAUAUGUACUUGACUAAUGACUACUUUCUUCUAUAAAAGGGGUUUCUACGCUCGUUAUAGAGCCUAAAGUUUUUUUAGGCCCAUAACUUUAACUGUUUUGUAAAUGUAGGAUAAAUUUUUUCGGGCUUGCAAGUUGUAGGACAAUUUUUCAAAAAUUGAGCAUAAGUAGGACAAAUUGAGCCCGAAAAAUCAAUUUGUCCUGCAAUUACAACCCAAAAAUUUUUUGUCCUACGUUUGCAAAAUGACCAAAGUUACUGUCCUAAAAAAAGAGAGAGAAGAAAGAAUUUUUUUAAAAAUUUAAUCUUUAAAUAAAUACUCCUUCCGUACCAUUGAUCUUGUCCCGUAUUUUUUUUUUGUUUGUCCCAUUGAUCUUGUCUCAUUUCUAUAAAUAGUACUCCCCCCGUCCCAAUAAUCUUGUCUCACUUUCCUUUUUGGUUUGUCCCAAUAAUAUUGUCCAAUUUCCUCUUUUGGUAAUAAUUAGAAUAUGUUUAGCAUUCACUUAAUCCAUCUAUAUACCUACUAACCUACCCUCUCUCUCUCCUAAUUAAUCCUCUCACCAGUGAGCUUUCUCUCCAAACGCAUCUCUCCUUCCCUCUGGACUCUCUCUCUCUGCCAGAAACUGGACGGCCGCCUCCUCAACACCACGGCCGACGCCCCUUGUUCUACCUCCUGCUUCAUCUUCUCCGGCCGAACGGUCGGAGCCAGAGCCACCGCCGCCGCCGCCUGUAAGCAGGUUAAAACCCUAACUUUAUUCCUUUUCUUUUUCCUAUUCUCAUUUCUCUUUUAUGUAAAAUUAAAAACUGAAAAUCCUCCCUCUAUUUUGCUCUUUCCAUCGCGCCAUCCGCCGUGCUUCGCCGCUGUUCGUCUGCCCAGGUAACCCCAUGCGCUGCCUCAACAAGCAACGGACGAGCAUUCGGGACGGACGGAGUUGAACGCACCUCCUAUUGGUGAGGAGAAGCCUACCUUCGCGUCGCAUUUCCCUUCUCCCAAGUGCCGCAGCCAACAACAACGAUGCCACUUCUCCUUCACUGAGCCACCUUCCGACGAUGAGUGGGAGAGUGGCUUUUCUGCAGAUCUGAGAAAUUUGAGGUAGAUCUACAGAAAUGUAGUGUUGAAAUUGGGGAGGUGUGAGAUUGCCUUUUUUGUUCUUGUUUUUUUGUAGAAAUUUGUUCUUUCUAUUAUGUUGUUGAAAUUUGUUGAAGAAAUUGUUAGAAUUUGUUGUAGAAAUUGAAGAUUUGUUGAAAUUUGUUGUUCAAAUUUGCAGAAAUCCGUUGCGUAUUUUCUU